rnacentral:rRNA from 1 species
AUACGAGGGGUGCAAGCGUUAAUCGGAAUUACUGGGCGUAAAGCGUUCGUAGGCGGUUUGUUAAGCAAGAUGUGAAAGCCCUGGGCUCAACCUGGGAACUGCAUUUUGAACUGGCAAGCUAGAAUACUGUAGAGGGUGGUGGAAUUUCCAGUGUAGCGGUGAAAUGCGUAGAGAUUGGAAGGAACAUCAGUGGCGAAGGCGGCUACCUGGACAGAUAUUGACGCUGAGGAACGAAAGCGUGGGGAGCGAACAGGAUUAGAAACCCUAGUAGUCC